GACAGAGGUCCCAAGCGUUAGGCGGAAUCACUGGGCUUAAAGCGUGUGUAGGCGGGCCUGCAAGUACCUUGUGAAAUCCCACGGCUUAACUGUGGAACUGCUUGGUAUACUGCCGGUCUUGAGGCAUCUAGAGGCAACUGGAACAAACGGUGGAGCGGUGAAAUGCGUAGAUAUCGUUUGGAACGCCCAUGGUGAAAACAGGUUGCUGGGGGAUGUUCUGACGCUGAGACACGAAAGCCAGGGGAGCAAACGGG
rnacentral:rRNA from 1 species